CAAUUAACUUACAUUGCAAUUUUUUUCCCCAGAAGCAUGUCAUAAGAACCGUUUGAUUACCAAUCAAUGACCCAGUCCCCCAGAAUUUCCACUAAAGAGUUUGUGAAAAUUUAGAACUCUCAAUGCCUCACUUUGUUUUGUGUUUACUGGCUAAUAUAGGGUCCUGAGAGUCGGCGAAUGUGAACAAGGCUCUCAAGUAACUUUAUACAACAACAGCGAACUGCAGGCAAUGUUCAGAGAUCUAACUGACAGUAAAAGUUAGGUAGAAUGGCUGAGCAAAGCAGGGACUGCCGGGCAGAAAGAGAAGCAGGAAGCAGACAGAACAUCUAGUAAUGCAACAGUCUAAGAAAUAACUUAA